rnacentral:rRNA from 1 species
UGGGGAAUAUUGGGCAAUGGGGGAAACCCUGACCCAGCAACGCCGCGUGAAGGAAGAAGGCCUUCGGGUUGUAAACUUCUUUUAUCCAGGAAGCGAAGGACGUGACGGUACCUGGAGAAAAAGCAACGGCUAACUACGUGCCAGCAGCCGCGGUAAUACGUAGGUUGCGAGCGUUGUCCGGAUUUACUGGGUGUAAAGGGCGUGUAGGCGGAGAAGCAAGUUGGGAGUGAAAUCUAUGGGCUCAACCCAUAAACUGCUCUCAAAACUGUUUCCCUUGAGUAUCGGAGAGGCAAGCGGAAUUCCUAGUGUAGCGGUGAAAUGCGUAGAUAUUAGGAGGAACACCAGUGGCGAAGGCGGCUUGCUGGACGACGACUGACGCUGAGGCGCGAAAGCGUGGGGAGCAAACAGGAUUAGAUACCC